rnacentral:lncRNA from 1 species
UUAAAAUAUAAAAUAAACAAAAAAAAUUGGGAGUUGCCGCGUGCUGAAAACACUGAGCGGCAAACUUCCCCCCUUGUUUCAUUUCGAGAGACAAAACCCUCUCACAGACACAAGUCGCACAGACAAAACACUCUCGCACACCUCCGCUCAAGCUCACCUCCACUCAAAAACCUCCGCUCAAACUCACCUCUCCACCGCUCAAACUCACCUAUCCGCUCAAAAACACCAUCUUCGCUGCUUAAAGUCACCUCUAAUUAGGUAAAAUCGGGGUUUCAGGUUCAACCGGGGCUUCGAUUGAGAGCUUCUUCGCCGACAAAAUUAGGGCUUCCGGUUCCUUUUACUUAUUUUGAGUUUAUUUUGCUUUUCACUGAGGUUAUGUUCUUAAUUUUGUGUAUUUCUUUUCUAGGGCUAGGAUUGAAUUGGGUCUUUAGUGGAACUAGGGCUAGCUUCGAUUUGCUUCGAUUUAAGGUACAAUCGCUAUAAUCCUUUUCUUGUUCACUUUGAAUGCAUGCUUUAUUUUUGAUUUUAUAUAUAAAUGUAUGUAGCUUUUGUGCUGUGAUUUUAUCUGUCUCUCUCCCUCUCCCUCUCUCACUCUCAAUCUCUCCCUCUCUCUCUCUGUCUCCCUCCCUCUCUCUCUCUCUCCCCCUCCCCCUCUCUCCCUCUCUCACUCUCUCUCUCUCCCUCUCUCACUCUCUCCCUCACUCUCCCCUCACUCUCCCCCCUCUUAGAGUCUAUGUUGGCUGAAGUCAUAUAAUUUUGUAAUGUUGUGUAUUAUUGAAGGAUUUACAGUAAUUAUUUAGUUUAGUAAUGUUGUAUUCUUGAAUUUUAUUAUUGAUUUUCGCUUGGUUGUUGCUUGAUUUUGUUUUGGAUUGAAUUGAAUGUGGUAUAUAAUUGCUUGAAUUGAUGAGUUCCAAUGAGCUUAUGGCCUGAUUUGUGAUACAUUUUGGGCUGCUUAGCAAAUUUGCUUAGUUGGAUAAACAAAUAUAUGAAUCGGAGUUGUGAAUCCAUUAAUGCAGAACUUAUAAAUACUCUGCGAUUUGGUGAUAUGAAUUAAAGUCUGUUAUGUACUUUUGUUUGUGAUCUGAUUGGGUGUAACCUUACUUUAGAUAUGAAUACUAAUCUGUAUAAGCAUUAGAUAGUUUUGAACUAUAGGAGAAGUUAGUAACAUACUAGAUAUGUCUGAGACUUUAUAUAUAGUUAAAGGAAAAUAGAAGUUAGAUUGCCUUUUAAAACAAUUUAUUAAUGGUUCAGUGUAUUAGGUAGUUUUGUAAUCUAUAACCCACAUACCUUUGGAUUGACAUUAUAUAUUUUAGGAAUCUGGGAAUCGUGAGAUGUGCGUAAGUAGAUUUAAUAAUCUUCAUAAAAUAAUAUGUACUUAAUCUAUUUAAUCUUAAUUUCAGACUAUAUCUAAGUAGAAAUUAGGAACAUGUAUUACUAACUAAUUAUUCUUUUAAUUAAUAAAGUCAAUAAUUGGAUAAACUGCUAAUAUUAUAAGUUAAUAACCUGUAGUGAUGGAUGCUGAGGAAACUUGGACCGAUCUCCCCAAAUAUAGUGAACAGUACAUUACGGGUGUAAAGGCAUUUCUGCUAAAUGCCUUCCCCAAAUUUGCUGUUGGUGAUGAGAUGACCUGCCCUUGCAAAAAGUGCAAGAACAUCAAGUGGCAGAGUCACGAUCUUAUCUAUGAUCAUCUCAUCUGCAAUGGUCCUUGUCC